GUGGACAUCCAGACACAAACCAUAACAGUUCCCCAUUCCAAAGUAGGCUCGUGGAUGGCUCUACAUUUGACCUAACCUACAGCCGUGCAAGAAGGAACGGAAGGUCUUUCUCUCAUUUAACAGAUGAGGACCCUGGGGUUCCCAGGUUCAAUGAUUGCUUCUAACCACACCAAGAACAAAAGACAUUUUAGAAAUGCAGAUGGAUCUUUUCCUAACCGCCCCCCC
rnacentral:lncRNA from 1 species